AUAUAUAUAUAUAUAUAUUUGUUGAAUUAUUGGUCAUUGUUGAUAUCAAGCUUAGAAAUUGUACUUUAUUCUUUUUCUGUUGACUGCCAUAGAGCGACUGUUGAAUCUUUAAAUAAAGUUCGUGGGUUAUUAAAAGAUUUUGGAAUCUACUCUUGGGAAAUACAAUUGUUGUGCAAUUUAAUAGUCGUAAUCAAUCAAUUGGAAAAGAGGGUUGAAAGCUUGCUAGGUUUCUAGGCAUCAUUGCUAGAAUCCCAGAUUUGACACCAUUAAAUGCAAAUGAUUGGCGAGUGUUUGACGAAGAAGAAAAGAACAAAUUAGUGGAGUUUGUGAGGAAAAAAAUCUCAAUUCCAAUACAUGGAGAAGAGUUUGUGAAAAAGUCAAUAGGAAAAAAAUGAAGGGACUAUAAAUGUGACUUAAAGGCUAUGUAUGUGUACCAAUUAUAAGACCAAAGAUGCCUUGAUGAAAAAUAGACCAAGUCACAUACCAAGAGAUCAAUGGAGUUGUCUCAUCUCGUAUUGGCUUUCUGAAAAAGCAAAGGCUAUAGAUGGAAUAGGACCUACACGUGC